rnacentral:miRNA from 1 species
UUAAUCGACCAAGUGGGUACUA